rnacentral:lncRNA from 1 species
UUCUGUCGAACCUGUCAUGAUGGUACAUUAAUCAAAUGAGUUAGUAACAAAAAAUCAAAUAUACUGUCAGCAAACCAAACCAAUAAUGUUUGAUGACAGAUAUCGGUUAGAGCUAAUUUAAUUUAGAUUUGUAGUUUUGUCUUUCUAGCUGAUAUAUGUUAUCGAACAAACAUCAAUAGUGGAAACCAAGGUUUUCAACAACACAAUUCAAAGUAAAUGAAACAAAGAGGUUAGUUUGUGCACACAUAACUGAUUUUAUUUUAUAGGUGAUUCUUUUGGCAUGGUAAGUGUCACUUUGUUGGUAUUUCUGCACUCUUUUGUUUAUCCAUAUUUUGAAUCAGUUUCCUGUAGUGAGGUGCAUGCCUCUAAGGAAUUUAUGGUUUAUGUGAGGCAUACCUUCAACACUUUAUCGAAAAUUAUAGAUGUUGAUUUUAAUUUUAUUGUACUCAUGAUUUGUGGCAAUACUUUAGCUUAUGAAAUUGCAUGUUUGAAAUCUCCAUGAAAUUGAGCUAAGUUAUGAGAGUUGCCAGAUAAGUUCAGCCGGUGUAUACUAAGAUCUCCAUGAAAAUUACAAUUUUUGCAUAACUAAUACAUGUGCAGUGCAAAUGGGAUAAAUGCAAUUGUAUCAUGAAAGCAUGCUCACAAAAAUGUGUUAACCAAUAGUGUGCAACUAUUUGGUUGCCAUACUUUUCUUGCUUUCCCAGAAAAGUUACAAGCCUCCUAAA